ensembl:lncRNA novel transcript
GGAGACAGAGUCUUGCACUGUCGCCCAGGCUGGAAAAAUAGCUAAGAAUAUUUUUAUGCAAGUUUUGGGGAGGACUGAACACUGGUAAGGAUUCACUGUAGGGCUCCAUCAUUAUAAGUUUCCUAAAAAGUAGUGUGCAAACAAAAUAUCUGAACACAGAACCCUAAACAUACUAGAUGUAUGUGUGGGUA